rnacentral:rRNA from 1 species
AUUGAACGCUGGCGGCAGGCUUAACACAUGCAAGUCGAACGAGUGGCGGACGGGUGAGUAAUGUAUGGGAACCUGCCCGGUGGAGGGGGAUAACUACUGGAAACGGUAGCUAAUACCGCAUACCAUCGGAUCUGCCCAGAUGGGAUUAGCUAGUUGGUGGGGUAAAGGCUCACCAAGGCGACGAUCCCUAGCUGGUCUGAGAGGAUGACCAGCCACACUGGAACUGAGACACGGCCCAGACUCCUACGGGAGGCAGCAGUGGGGAAUAUUGGACAAUGGGCGCAAGCCUGAUGCAGCCAUGCCGCGUGUAUGAAGAAGGCCUUCGGGUUGUAAAGUACUUUCAGCGGGGAGGCGGUACCCGCAGAAGAAGCACCGGCUAACUCCGUGCCAGCAGCCGCGGUAAUUC